UACGAAGGGGGCUAGCGUUGCUCGGAAUUACUGGGCGUAAAGGGCGCGUAGGCGGACAGUUUAGUCAGAGGUGAAAGCCCAGGGCUCAACCUUGGAAUUGCCUUUGAUACUGGCUGUCUUGAGUUCGGGAGAGGUGAGUGGAAUGCCGAGUGUAGAGGUGAAAUUCGUAGAUAUUCGGCGGAACACCAGUGGCGAAGGCGGCUCGCUGGACCGGUUCUGACGCUGAGGCGCGAAAGCGUGGGGAGCAAACGGG
rnacentral:rRNA from 1 species